AUUGAACGCUGGCGGCAGGCUUAACACAUGCAAGUCGAGCGAGUGGCGGACGGGUUAGUAAUGUCUGAGAAACUGCCUGAUGGAGGGGGAUAACUACUGGAAACGGUAGCUAAUACCGCAUACCAUCGGAUUUGCCCAGAUGGGAUUAGCUUGUUGGUGGGGUAACGGCUCACCAAGGCGACGAUCCCUAGCUGGUCUGCGCGGAUGACCAGCCAAACUGGAACGGAAACACGGGCCAGACUCCUACGGGAGGCAGAAGUGGGGAAUAUUGCACAAUGGGCGCAAGCCUGAUGCAGCCAUGCCGCGUGUAUGAAGAAGGCCUUCGGGGUGUAAAGUACUUUCAGCGGGGAGGCGUUACCCGCAGAAGAAGCACCGACUAACUCCGGGCCAGCAGCCGCGGUAAUAC
rnacentral:rRNA from 1 species